UACGAAGGGGGCUAGCGUUGCUCGGAAUCACUGGGCGUAAAGCGCACGUAGGCGGCUUUUUAAGUCAGGGGUGAAAUCCUGGAGCUCAACUCCAGAACUGCCUUUGAUACUGAGAAGCUUGAGUCCGGGAGAGGUGAGUGGAACUGCGAGUGUAGAGGUGAAAUUCGUAGAUAUUCGCAAGAACACCAGUGGCGAAGGCGACUAACUGGACAAGUAUUGACGCUGAGGUACGAAAGCGUGGGGAGCAAACAGG
rnacentral:rRNA from 1 species